AUUUUAAAUCGCAAAGUUCUGAGCACUUAGCAUUGGUACUGAAGCUGUUUUUUCUUGAGUUAGCUUUGUCUUGGUUGCCAGGAUAAACACGAAGUGUUGAGCAUCUAGAAGCGAACUUUCUGCUCUUCUCUCAAGAGCUUCAAAAUAUUCUAUUGUAUAACCUUCAUCAGUUAGAGCCUGGCGUAAAAAGGUUUCAUCCAUUGUCAAAACGUGGCACCUGUGUUCACCCACCUGACAAAAAGUGCCAUUUAAAGCCCCAAAUAAUAUAAGGUGACCUCCAGGUUUCAGUAAAAAGGAGAGUUUUCUCAGGUUUUGGUGAUAGCUGUCAUGGUCUUUGCUCAUCACCUCUAAGCCCCCCG